rnacentral:lncRNA from 1 species
CACCUGGCUCUCAGCCACUAUUGUUUGUGAGGUGUAUAAAUAUAACACUGAUACUGUGAAAGAGCUGCUGAAUAAAGCCGUGUCUCAUCUACCUGCUGUCUCCCAAGUGUUCUUCCAGCUCCCUGCCCCUCAUCAACCCACUCUCCUCAGACCUCAGCUGGGGCUUGAACCUGAUAAUUGGUGUAGUCAUCAGGAUGAGCUGUACCCUUCAUCACGAAUUUGAUGGACUGCUUGACAAUGGAACUGGAAGAGUACCACUUUGUGGUGGACUUAGCUAAUGCAGUCUUCUCCAUUGACAUUGCUCCAGAGAGCCAGGAGAAGUUUGUCUUCACGUGGGAAGGAUGACAAUGGACUUUCACCAUGCUGCCACAGGGCUGUGUGCAUAGCCCCACCAUUUGUCCUGGUCUUGUUGCCAUGGAUUUAGCUGCCUGGAAAUGCCCAAAAGGGGUCUGCCUGUUUCAUUACAUUGAUGAUAUGUUAACCUCUGAUUCUCUCACAGAUUUAGAAGUGGUGGUGCCCCUCUUGUGACAGCAUUUGGCAGUGUGCAGUUGGGCCAUCAAUAAAUCCAAGGUCCAAGGGCCGGAAUUGUCUGCCAAAUUCUUGGGAGUUAUUUGCUCAGCCACAGGUUGGCAUGCUCCAACAACAUUGUGGACUGGGCUCACACCUAUGCUGAGGUGGCCAAUGUCUCCAACUGUUAGAUCUGCACCACCCUUCCAGCAGCAGCUGUGGAUGGCUUGCCUUGGCAUGUGCAUCCAGCUUUUGUGAAGAACUGGACAUGGCUAGAAACUUGGGGUCCCACAGACAAUGGGCGGGAUGCAACAUGGUGAGCUUUGGAUGGGGGUGUCACAAAACCCAUGGCAAGCCUGCCCCCUGGCUGACUCAUAGCAUCCAUGAUGAAUGGGGCUGGCUAAUGGGAGAAAACAUGGUGGCCCCAUUGCAAGUACCACGAUGUAUAGAGCAACACUGGGGUAAGGUCACUGUGGGAUGGUUGCCUGCUGAGACCUGUGCAAACGUAACACAUGCCACCAUGCCAAGGAUGUGGUGGAACAAGCAGCCCUACCAAGGCUGGGCCCCCAUGGACUUUGUGCCUGCUGGGAGUUUAUAGGUCUGUGGGGACAUAGGAUGGCCAUAUCUGCCAGCCAACUAGACUGGACAUUGUACCUGGGAGUGGCCUUCUGUGCCUGCCACUGUGCUUCCCACAUUGCUUAGUCACACACAUAACUGGGAGGUGCUGUGUUCCCAGUUUUUGUGAGUGCAUUGAGCCCCUAGUGGUUCUACCCCUUAGCAAUAACUGUCCCUGGAACAGGUGUCAUCACUGUAGAAAUGCAGGUUACAGCCCUUGCAGAACACAGAGAUUGGGCCCAUGAAUUACACCUGAGCUGCCCUCCUUUUGUUAAUUGAUGAGUUUGAUCAGAUCAGGAAGGUGGUGAUGCAAAACCGGAUGGCCUUAGACAUAGUCACAGCUGCUCAAGGUGGCACCUGUGCCCUUGUAGGGACAGAGUGUUGUACAUUCAUCCCUGACAACCACCAGAACAUAGUGGCAGCUUUGCAGGGGGUGUCAUGUCAUAGGAGAUUAAGGCAAUUGAAUACCUUACUGAUGACCGCCUGCAGAGAUGGUGGGUGUCUCUGGGCUCUGGCCUACACUGGGCUCUUAUAAUCAUAGGUAGCAUAGCAGGAAUAUUAGUAGUAGGUUGUUGCUCUCUUUAUUGUUGCUGUGGCCUCUGGGUCCAGGGUGCUCCCCUAUGUGCACGAGUUCCCAUUAAGAGGACCCCCUUGGCCUAGGGGGCGGAGUGUAAGGAACAUGGCUGUGUUGCUGCCAGGCAGGCAUAGGCCGAGGUAAAAAUCCUGCAUGACACAGUGGGAUUAGAGCACACGCGCGCAAUCCUGUGCCUGAUAUAAUCACAGCUAGGUAGACAUAACACAGAGAAGCUCAUCAUUUGGCUCUCAGCCACUAUCAUUUGUGAGGUGUACAAAUGUAACACUGACACUGUGAAAGAGCUGCUGAAUAAAGCCAUGUCUCAUCUA